rnacentral:rRNA from 1 species
GAUGAACGCUGGCGGCGUGCCUAAUACAUGCCAGUCGAGCGAACGGACGAGAAGCUUGCUUCUCUGAUGUUAGCGGCGGACGGGUGAGUAACACGUGGAUAACCUACCUAUAAGACUGGGAUAACUUCGGGAAACCGGAGCUAAUACCGGAUAAUAUUUUGAACCGCAUGGUUCAAAAGUGAAAGACGGUCUUGCUGUCACUUAUAGAUGAAUCCGCGCUGCAUUAGCUAGUUGGUAAGGUAACGGCUUACCAAGGCAACGAUGCAUAGCCGACCUGAGAGGGUGAUCGGCCACACUGGAACUGAGACACGGUCCAGACUCCUACGGGAGGCAGCAGUAGGGAAUCUUCCGCAAUGGGCGAAAGCCUGACGGAGCAACGCCGCGUGAGUGAUGAAGGUCUUCGGAUCGUAAAACUCUGUUAUUAGGGAAGAACAUAUGUGUAAGUAACUGUGCACAUCUUGACGGUACCUAAUCAGAAAGCCACGGCUAACUACGUG